UUCGGCGGCCGAAUAUCUUCUGUCUGUGCAACCUUUAUCGGCUGAAUGCUGCAGAUGGUUUCUUUCAGUUUCAGGUUUUCAGUCCUGCAAAGAUCAUCAUUCAAAAUACAAUUUUGAUUCUCAUUAAACACAUCUUGGCUCAAACAAUCAAUAAUAUCAAGACUAUCAACAAGUUCUGCUUGAUCAGUUUGUUUGGACAAACAGUUUUCUGGUUGUGUCUCUUCAGCAGCUUGUUCUUGUACUUGCCAACUUU
rnacentral:lncRNA from 1 species